GACGAACGCUGGCGGCGUGCCUAACACAUGCAAGUGGAGCGACGAACCGGGCUUCGGCCCGGGGCCAAGCCGCGAACGGGUGAGUAACACGUGGGUAACCUGCCCUGAUGAUUGGGACAACCCGAGGAAACUCGGGCUAAUACCGAAUGUGCCCUCCGACCAUAAGGUCUGCGGGGAAAGGAAGCUUCGGCCUCCGCAUCGGGAUGGGCCCGCGGCGCAUUAGCUUGUUGGUGAGGUAACGGCUCACCAAGGCGACGAUGCGUAGCUGGUCUGAGAGGACGAUCAGCCACACUGGGACUGAGACACGGCCCAGACUCCUACGGGAGGCAGCAGUGGGGAAUCUUGCGCAAUGCGCGAAAGCGUGACGCAGCAACGCCGCGU
rnacentral:rRNA from 1 species